AUUUUGAGAUAGAGACAGCACGGUGGGGGAGGGGCAGAGAGAGAGGGAGGGAGCGAAUCCCAAGCAGGCUCCACAUAUGUGCAGAGCCCGAUAUGUCUAGAAUACACCAGACGCUGGAAGCAUGAAGACACCUCUGCCCUCUAAGAAUGCUACAGUCUUUUGAAGCUUUUCUUUACAGAAGCUCAAAGUGAUUUAACUAUGUUGAAGUUUCAGAAAAUUGGGAUGUAAGGAAAUUGAUGAAUUAUCAAUUGAAUGGUAAACAGUAUAAAGUGUCUUCAACUUUCUCAGCAUGGUAUCUUUUCCAUGGUGAUUCUACUGCUAAGUUGACUUUUUUCUCCAAAGAAGCCUCUGUAAACUUCACAGACAACCAGAAGUACCGCUCCCCAGCUGCCAGUGGGAAUGCUGGCAACACUUGAUCUCAGCAGCUGACGUUCAGGGCUGCUCCUUCCCAGGGCUCUUCUCUUACUUCAGAGACUAUGUCAACACAUUGUGAUGCAGGAGCAAUAGAACAAUGCCCAGAGCAGCCUGGCCUCCUCUGCUUCUUUUACUAAGUGGUUAGUUGCCUACCUGGUAGACAUAAACACCUUCUGACAAAGAAAUGUGAAAAGAGUUGGAAACCUGCUGUUUGGAGACUAUUCUCCUACUAGACAUCCAAGAGAUCUCCAGAGAUCUAUUUCAGCCUCACAUCUAUGUCAACCAUGAGCUAUGAACUUGUGACUGUCUGGUUCCACUCACCAAAAGACCAUGAUUAGAAUCAUUGACAACAGCUCAGCUCAGAUAUAAACAGCAGCCCUCUGAGCACUUCACCCACCUUGCUUCGUUAGGAAAACUCUUUUUAAGGCAUGGACCUCUCAGACUUCACCAUGAAAAGGAGGAAGCCCAGACUGAAAUGAGUUAAAACCUUCAUCUUGGAGAGAGGAUUGUGGCUUGGCCCUGAGUUAAGUAAGCACCAUGAAGAAGAACAAUAGGAACUCUACCACAAGGAUCAAUAAGCAAGAUGCCAUCUCCGUCCCACCCUUCCAAGAUGCAGGAGAUCUUCAAAAUAUGUUGGAUGGAGGAGAGUAUGCCCCUUUUGUAUCUCCUCCCAUAUUAGAGAGCAAUUUUCUCCAGGUUAAUAGGAGAGGUGAGUCCAUUUACCUUCACAACCGAGCCAACUGGGUGACUGUAGGCAUCUGCUCUUCCAGUAGCACCCACAAGACCCCCAAUGUGAUGCUUCUGGCACAUCUGACACCUGAAGCCCAGAAAAAUACAGAACCCCUAUUUCAAAGGCUCCUGACAUCUCCUUCUCCAGAGAACCUGGUGCUCACCAGGUUUCUUCCUCUACAGUUUGUGACUCUUUCUGUGCACGAUGCUGAGACUAUGCGCCUCAAAGUAAAGCUGGUCAGUGGUCGAGCCUACUACCUGCAGCUCUGUGCCCCUGCAUGUAAACAGGACACCCUAUUUUGUCAAUGGGUGGAACUCAUCUCCCUCUUGAAUCAGGAGAAAGCCAAAGCUUCCAAACUGUCAGAAGUCUCAAGCCUCUCGGAAAUCACCAAUAGCACAGAUAUCACAGGUUCAGUGGACAUCAUGGAUAUUGCAGCAUUUGCAGCCAUACAGACCCUGCACAUGUACACAUGUUCAGACCCUGUACAUGCCAUAGAAAGCAUUGAUUUCUCAGAAUUCACAGAUGUCACCGAUGUCACAGACAUCACAGAUGUUCCAGAAAAUGAGGUCACAGAGGCCCCAGAUAUAAAAAUUGUCACAGAAGUCACAGAAGUCACGGAUGUCUGUGAUGUCCCAAACAACUCGGAGGUUACAGUGGUGUUUGAAAACGAUGACAUACUAAGGGCCAAGCAAGAGGAAAAGGAAAAAAUGGAAAACAUUCUGAAGCCUGGGUGUCUACGAGAUACAAAAAUUAAGAAUGAAUGCAAAGAAUCCUCAAAACAUGUCACCAUCUCAAAUGUAACACUGACUUUCGAAGGUGAACGAUGUUUUCAUUCUACUUUGACUCCAGAAGAAAGUGACAUAAAUUCAUUCAAAAGGAUGAGCAUUACUAGAACAUCUGAAAUAAGGACAACUGAUUUUAGCAACACGGCUCUCAAUGCUGAGGAAUCCAGGAGCAUGAGAACUGAUUCAGGCACUUCAGGCUUGCAUAGUAUUUUGAUUUUCCCUCUGCUUAGCAUUUCUUUCCCCCUUUUUACAGUCCUCUAAAUCACUUCUUUUUGCCCUUUCAUACCCUUACUCACACUUAACACUUUUUACCCCAAAAAGAGCAAGGAUUAGUAGAAUCUUAAUCCCUUGUUCCAUUGAAUUUAGACUAAAUGUAGACUAAAAAUGAGUCUGUGAAUCUGAUUUCUAUUCUAGACAGUAGCCAGAAUAGUAACUGCUCCCCACUGCAAUAAAACAAAACCCUGGUCCUAUUAACCUGGUCAGAUUCACAUUCACCCAACUCCAGGCAAUGCUACCUGAGGACCAUGGUCUCUUAUUCAUGUCUCAAACCACUCAGCAGUUUGACAAAAGGACACUUUUUCUCCUUUCUGAGUAAGGCUUUGGGUAAAGUGGACUCUGAAUGUACUGUUUUCAUGAAAAGGCUGCAGGAAGAACCUAGGCUAACACUGUCUCUCAGGAUCUGGGUCCAUCUGUCCCUUUUCUUGACUUUUAAUUUCUUACCUAUCUAGGUUUUACUCACUUUAGCUCUGUUGAUCUCUUUACGCUGAGCCCAAACUUAGGCUUACCUUUGACCCUAUAGUAUUUUCCCAAGAUGGAAAGCAAUCAGACAAAGGAUAGACAUCCAAGAAAUAGAGAAGGGAAAACUGCUACCAAACACCGGGAAUUUCCUCCCCAUUUAUAUCCAUCUUUCUUUUCCACUUUCCUCUUAACUAUUGCAAAUCAAAUUCUUUGCAAUCUUAAGCAGCCAUGUUCAUUCUGUUUAUGAAACCCAGUCUAAAAAAGAGAAAGGAUGGGAGGACCCUAACAAGGAAACUGAAAUUUAACAAUGGGCUCCAUUGGGAAAAAUAAAGACAUUUUUAAAUUUAAGACCAAAUUGAGUUCUUUCUCCUGUGCUUUUCUCUCUUGCUUUUGGCUUUUUUUCUUUCUUCUUCACUUCCCCUCUCUAAUGAUCUCUAUUUCACUUUCCUCACUAUUUUUCUUUUCGCCCUCUGGCUCCCUCCUCUCAUGUCAAAUCUUUUACCUCCCUCAAACUUGUGCCUCAUCUGUCUCCCCCUUUCUCAGGGGAAUGGAUGUGAGGAAAGGAAAGUAAAACAGAAAAAGAAAAGGCCAAUGGAAAAAAACAUGUAAGACAACCUAAAGAUAAAUACAAACUACUAAACUAAAAAAUAAGAACAACUCAAGAAAUAAUAACCAACAGAAGAGAAAAACAAGGCAGUGUCUUCCAUGUGGCAGAAAUAAAGGCUACUACUAAUCAA